rnacentral:lncRNA from 1 species
UUUGAGAGAAUUUAUUGCAAAAAAAGAGAUAGCGAACCUAGAAAUCUGAUAAAAGUACGAACUGUUUAUUUUAAGAAUAACUACAAGUUCAGAUAGGAACUAAUUAAUUUUGCAUUUGUAAGAAAAAUGAAUUGUUUCGGGAAAUAAAAUAAAUAGUAUUUAGAUGGUUAGAUUGGAAUAGAUUGAAUAAGAGAUAUAAUUUUAAAUUUAAAAUAUUUUAUCUAAUUAAUUGAUAUCAAAAUAUUAAUUAAAAAUAAUUUAAUAAAUUAAUAAAUUUAGUAAACAUGAAUAUUGUAUAAGAUAAUGAAAAUAUAUUAAUUAAUUAAUUAAAUAUAAAAAAUAAUUUAACUUUUUAAUUAGUUAGUAAAUUUUUUAGUUAGAUAACUAGUAAAAAAAUUAAUUAGAUUAAUUAAAAUAUUAAUGGCUGAUCAAUAUAUUUAAUUAUUAAUUUAUGGAUAAACACAUUAAAUUAUUAAUAAUUAAUUAGCUGAUUAAUUAUAAGUAAUAAGUUAAUUAGUUCUUUAUUAUUUAAGCAAUAGAUAAUAAUUUAAAUAUAUUAAUUAAAUUAAUUAAUAAUUUAAUAUCAUAAUUAAAAUUAAAUAUAGA